AGGGUUGGUGACACCUCCUCACCCAGGAUAUGGGACCAAGGGAGGCGGGAUCCAAGCUCCUGGGUCCAAACCCAAGGAAGGAAAUGGAAGGGUGGCAUGGUGUCAGACAGAAGGGAAAGCAAAAAGGUGGAAGGCCAAGGCCAGCGGGGGUGGGGGUGGGGGUGAGUGGGUCAAUGGUCUAUGCCCUCGAUGCGCAGCAGAUGCGCGAGGCCGCGAGCCCCAGACUCUGCCUGGCAAGUGCAGACUGAUUGCACAGGAUCAAACACCAUGCAAGCAAAUAAAACUGCCUGAUUCCAACUUCUGAGGACCCAAGGAAGACAAGAGCCUCUGUCCCUGAGGCCAUUUUCAGCAAUGCUCCUAGAAUCUGUCCACAGCCACAGCCGGUCCCCUACGGAAGUCCCUUCUUAAACAAUCGCCCUGGCAACCAUCCAGAACAAGGAGAGAGCUCUGCACUCCUUCACUGGCCCUGCCUGUCCUCAGGAAAGCUUAAGCUUCCCGUGCCUCUUCCCUACUUCCUUACAAUCUGGCGUCUAGAGAAUCACCUGUAGCAGGACUAUCCUCCUGGAAAGAAUCAGGCUGAGAAAGAUGUCUGCAAGAAAACAUUGAACGCUAGAGUGUGGACAUGUUCAAGCCUCUAAGCUACUGUCUGCUGCUAAUGAUGUGAGCUUGGGCGGGUCACUUGCUAAACACCAAGUUUUUCUCCAGAGUGCUGCCUGCUGCCCAUAAAAAAAAUAAAUAAAUAAAUAAAAAUGGUGCCAGGUACCACAAGGGUAA